GAAUUUAAUUCUUUUCAUUUGUUGAUCUCCUACCUUUAAGAUUAUUAUUGGAAAAUGCAUUAAAGGUUUUCUAGAAGUCUCCGAAUAUUUCCAGUCCGGAUCUUCUAGAACCUCAGGACCUCUCCGGAGUGUUCCGGGGCAUGCUAGAACUUUUUGGAAUCGUAGGGAUUAUGAUGAAAUCUUCUUGCUUCUCCGGAAACUUCUAGAAUUCUUUCUAUAACUCUUGUUCAAGAAUUGUCCUUGUCUAGAAGAUUCUUUUGCUCCUGAUAAAUAGGAGACGGAAACUCAUUUUGAAAGUGUAUGUUGAGAGCAAGAUGGAAACUCAUUUUUUUGUUUGUCAAGGUGGCAUGGGUAGCAGUCCAGCCACAUCAUGAGUGGGAAAGCUUUCUGUUGGUUCAGUAUAAUCACGAAGGUUGAAAAAAUUUCAGAGAAUAAUUGACUGGUUUAGCGUUCUACUAAAUUGACUGUUUCUUACAGUAGAACUUGAGGAUUAGGAAUUGGGGCAGUCCAAUGCGCAAUAUUUGCUUAUAUAUGUUGCAUCACCUAGUUAAGGUAUAGUAUUCUACUUUUGCUUAAAUGGAUACAAGUGGAACUUGGAUUCGUAAUCAUGAACAUUGGUGAAACGCAGGUUAUGAACAUAUUGGACAGCUACAGAGGUUCCAAUGUGGCCAAGAGAUCUCUAGGUCUGCGUCAGCUAGUCAAAUCACCGAAACACAUGUUUGCUAUGCAUCCAUUUACGCGGGCAGAAAACAUGGAAGUUUGUACUAACGAAGAAUUAUUGCAAUGACAGAAAGGCCAACAACUGUCUGAUAUGUGUUAUUUUAAGAAAAUUGCACAUAUUGUUUCCAUUUGAUGUAAUGUAGGACUUGUUUUAAGAAAAUUUCGAUGCUCGUCUUCGUUGAAGGGGAAAUGGAUUUAGAUUAUUUCUGUAAAUAAUCCUUGAUCUGAUAUAUGAAAAAUGUGAUUGUGCG